UACAGAGGGGGCAAGCGUUAUUCGGAAUUAUUGGGCGUAAAGGGCGCGUAGGCGGUCCUUCAAGUCUCUCGUGAAAUCCCUCGGCUUAACUGAGGACGUGCGGGAGAUACUGCUGGGCUUGAGUCCGGAAGAGGGUGGUGGAAUUCCCAGUGUAGCGGUGAAAUGCGUAGAUAUUGGGAGGAACACCGGGUGGCGAAGGCGGCCACCUGGGCCGGAACUGGACGCUGAGGCGCGAAAGCGUGGGGAGCAAACGGG
rnacentral:rRNA from 1 species